GGACAAAUGAAAUAGUUGAAGAUUAGUAUAAGAAGUUAGUAAUUAACAAUAGGAAAAUAUUAAAAUAGAAAGCGGGGGUGAAAUACAGUAUUCAUAUUAAUGAUAUUUUUAGAAAAAUGGGUUUCUAUUAUAUAAAAUAAGUUAAUUAGAAAGGGAUUAGAUAACCCUGUAUACUUAAAAUAAUUGAAUUUGAGGGUAGUAAACAGAUAUGAGCUUGAAACCUAGAGAAUUUGGCGGCACCUAAGUCUAGUCAGAGGAACCUGUACUAUAAACGAUAAACCACGAAAAUCUGACUUUAUCUUGAUUAAUCAGUUUGUAUACCUCCAUUAUUAAAUAAACUUAAGAGGGGCUUAUUGAGAUAAAUUUAAUUAAUUUUUAAUAUAUUAGGUCAAGGUGCAGCUAAUGGUAAAGUAGUUAUGGGUUACAAUAUAAAAAUAUAAAACGAAUCUUAAGGGGAAUCUUUUAAGGGAAGGUGGAUUUGAAUGUAAUAUAGGUGAAUUAAACCUAUAUGGUUUAAGCUAUUGGGUGUGCACACAUCGCCCGUCGUUCUUGCUUU
rnacentral:rRNA from 1 species